ensembl:snRNA U1 U1 spliceosomal RNA
AUACUUACCUGGCAGGGGAGAUACCAUGAUCACGAAGGUGGUUUUCCCAGGGUGAGGCUCAUCCAUUGCACUCCGGAUGUGCUGACCCCUGCGAUUUCCCCAAAUGCGGGAAACUCGACUGCAUAAUUUGUGGUAGUGGGGGACUGCGUUCGCGCUUUCCCCUG